AUUGAACGCUGGAGGCAGGAUUAGCACAUGCAAGUCGAGCGGGGUGAUGGUGCUUGCACUAUCACUUAGCGGCGGACGGGUGAGUAAUGCUUAGGAAUCUGCCUAUUAGUGGGGGACAACAUCUCGAGAGGGAUGCUAAUACCGCAUACGUCCUACGGGAGAAAGCAGGGGAUCACUUUUGACCUUGCGCUAAUAGAUGAGCCUAAGUCGGAUUAGCUAGUUGGUGGGGUAAAGGCCUACCAAGGCGACGAUCUGUAGCAGGUCUGAGAGGAUGAUCCGCCACACUGCAACAGAGACACGGCCCAGACUCCUGCGGGAGGCAGCCGUGCGGAAUAUUGGACAAUGGGUGGAACCCUGGUCCAGCCAUGCCGCGUGUGUGAAGCAGGACUUAUGGUUGUAAGGCACUUUAAGCGAGGAAGAGGCUCUUUUGGUUAAUACCCAUGAUGAGUGGACGUUACUCGCAGUAUAAGCACCGGCUAUCUCUGUGCCAGCCGCCGCCGUAA
rnacentral:rRNA from 1 species